CCUACGGGAGGCAGCAGUGAGGAAUAUUGGUCAAUGGACGAGAGUCUGAACCAGCCAAGUAGCGUGCAGGAUGACUGCCCUAUGGGUUGUAAACUUCUUUUAUAAAGGAAUAAAACGAGGCACGUGUGCCUUUUUGCAAGUACUUUAUGAAUAAGGCUCGGCUAACUCCGUGCCAGCAGCCGCGGUAAUACGGAGGAUCCGAGCGUUAUCCGGAUUUAUUGGGUUUAAAGGGGGCGUAGAUGGGUUGUUAAGUCAGUUGUGAAAGUUUGCGGCUCAACCGUAACAUUGCCAUUGAUACUGGCAGGCUUGAGUACAGUUGAGGUAGGCGGAAUUCGUGGUGUAGCGGUGAAAUGCUUAGAUAUCACGAAGAACCCCGAUUGCGAAGGCAGCUUACUAAACUGUGACUGACAUUGAUGCUCGAAAGUGUGGGUAGCAAACAGGAUUAGAUACCCUUGUAGUC
rnacentral:rRNA from 1 species